rnacentral:rRNA from 1 species
AUUGAACGCUGGCGGCAGGCCUAACACAUACAAGUCGAACGAGUGGCGGAUGGGUGAGUAAUGUCUGGGAAACUGCCCGAUGGAGGGGGAUAACUACUGGAAACGGUAGCUAACACCGCACACCAUCUGAUGUGCUCAGAUGGGAUUAUCUUGUAGGUGAGGUAACGGCUCACCCAGGCGACGAUCCCUAGCUGGUCUGAGAGGAUGACCAGCCACACUGGAACUGAGACACGGUCCAGACUCCUACGGGAGGCAGCAGUGGGGAAUAUUGCACAAUGGGCGCAAGCCUGAUGCAGCCAUGCCGCGUGUAUGAAGAAGGCCUUCGGGUUGUAAAGUACUUUCAGCGGGGAGGCGUUACCCGCAGAAGAAGCACCGGCUAACUCCGUGCCAGCAGCCGCGGUAAUAC